GAUGAACGCUGGCGGCGUGCCUAAUACAUGCAAGUCGAGCGAACGGACGAGAAGCUUGCUUCCCUGCUGUUAGCGGCGGACGGGUGGGUAACACGUGGAUAACCUACCUAUAAGACUGGGAUAACUUCGGGAAACCGGAGCUAAUACCGGCUAAUAUUUUGAACCGCAUGGUUCAAAAGUGAAUGACGGUUUUGCUGUCACUUAUAGAUGGUUCCGCGCUGCAUUAGCUAGUUGGUAAGGUAACGGCUUACCAAGGCAACGAUGCAUAGCCGACCUGAGAGGGUGAUCAGCCACACUGGAACUGAGACACGGUCCAGACUCCUACGGGAGGCAGCAGUAGGGAAUCUUCCGCAAUGGGCGAAAGCCUGACGGAGCAACGCCGCGUGAGUGAUGAAGGUCUUCGGAUCGUAAAGCUCUGUUAUUAGGGAAGAACAUAUGUGUAAGUAACUGUGCACAUCUUGACGGUACCUAAACAGAAAGCCACGGCUAACUACGUG
rnacentral:rRNA from 1 species